CUCGUCUCCCUGCCGGCAAGCUUCGAAUCGCCGUCAUUACUGUCCGCCGGCCACCGUCACCUAUCUCCCCAAGGUGAGCUCCUGAACCGAAUGUUCUUCUCAAUUAGCGGGCUUAGGGGCGUCCUGCUAGGAUGUGGGAGCUAUUGGGGAAGUCAGGGGAAUAGCUUGUGCCGCCUCCGUGCGCCGCCAUGGCCGGCCGAUGGCCAAGCCGCGGCCGCCCGUGGAGGGGCCGGCUCGGGCCACCUCCCGGCGAGCUGGAAGUGGGCGCGGGUGCGCCUGACCUGGGGCGCCGCCACCCCGUCCCUCUCGGCCGCCGGCGAGCCGCCGUUGGCCGGGGCCCGUCCCGUUUUGCCCCGCCGGCGUGCACCCCUGUUUUAGCGCAGGGAGGAAGAAGAGGCGCCAGGGGAUUGGAAGGAGAAAGAGAGGAGAGGCAGGCCGGUUGGUGAACUUGGGCCGGGAGGCCAAGCCUCGGUGGGGAAGGCCCAGGUGGAGUGGGAGAGGGAAAGAAGAGGGCCAGCCACGUCUUGGGCCAGGGGAAGGCGCGGGCCCAGCUAGCCGCGCGGUGUAAAGGAGGAAGGGAGAUCCGGUGAGCCGUCCGCUGAUCUGAAAGGAAAAUGGGCCGUGCAGCCCAGGUGGAAGUGGAGAAGAAAGGGAGUGGGCCGGUGAGUAAAGAACGGCCAUGGGCCAGAGUAGCAGGCCGGUCAAGCGGAAAGAGAAAAGAGAAGGUGGGCCGAGCGCGGUUGAGAAAGAAGAGAGAAGAGGGAAGCCGGCCCAAAAAGAAGCUGCGCAAGAAGGCCCACGCGUGGAAGGUUAAAGGCUGACGGGCCAUGUUUCGGCCCAAGGAAAAGUGCCGGUCGUGGGCCCCACUUGUCAAGGAAGAAAAGAAGAAGGAGAAUAGGAAACCAGAUGGGCCCUAGGUGGAAGUGAUAGUGGGUAGAAGCAGGUUAGGUGAGAGAAGUUUGGGCCGGGGGUUUUAAUUAAACCUUAGGUUUUCUUUAUUAGAUAAAUAGAUUAAAUGCUGUUUUCACCAAUUAAUUCACAGGAAAUUCUAGAAGUGCCCAAAAUUAGUGAAACCAAUUUUAUUAGGAUUGUUUUAUUUUCCUUUAUGCAUUAAAAUUCUUAAACCCUAGGAAAAAUAAUAAAAAUUUAGGUAUUUAUUUAAUGCCUUUUUAUCUAAGGUAUUUAAAUAAAUGCUUAAACUUUAUUAAAUGUAUAAAAAUUUGAAAAAUGCUUUAUUAUCCACAAAUCAUUAUUAAUUCAUAGGAAUUAGGUUUUUGAGAUUAGAAAAUUAUUAUAAUGCUUUUAAAAAUAAAUAAAAAGGUCUAAGGUAGGUUUAGUAAAGGAAAUAAAAAUGGUGGGCUAAUCUUUUCGGGUUUUUGUGUGUUGGCUUGCAACUUUAUCAUGAUAAAUUGUCUAAAGUUGUAUAGUCUUGUAUUCAAAAGUUUGCAUCUCUAACUCUUGCAUAUACUGAAUCGUAGACGUCACAACUCCUGGAGUGGGAAUUCAUGGAUUUCAGCUGGAGAUGGACAGCAUUCGCAGUGCCUCUUUCAAUAAACAAGUUUUCCGAAGAACUAACCUUGUUGAUCCCAGGCAAGCCCCGGUGCAUUUAUACCUAUCUAUUUUGGAGUCGUUAUUUCAUGUGACUAGUUAUAGGUUAUUUGUUUAUUGUAUGCACUAAGUCUAGGAGUUGAAUGAAACCUAUUCUUGUGUAUGAUCAUGCCUUGAUUUAAGGACAUCUUUGCCACUUGUUCAAAUCUUAGAAACUACCCAAGUCUAGAAAUGCUUAUUUGCUUACAUGAUUGGUUUACCAACCUUAAGGAAAACUCUUAAGUCAUACAUGUUGCUUAUGAAGGAUAGUCUGGAAUAUGAAUACGGACAGAAGCUAGAGAUGUAGUUCUGUCUGCUAGAUUAAUCUGGCUAAGGACCUAUCCGUGUCUUAACCGCUGAUCAAGUGAUAACAUCUAAUCACUUACUGGGUAUGGGACCAGUAAAGCCCAGUAGAUUAGUAAAUUCUAUGAUCAGGAAUGCUUCGUACCCGCAUUUGACGUGCUGGAGAUUGGCAGGGGUGUAGCCUGAAACUCACAUGGAGAUCAGGCCAGACGUGGGGUCCCAUGUGGGGGUGCAUCCCUGGGUCCGGGUAGUUGUAUUCCUAAUCAUUGACUUUGCUAAUCGAGAGGUUGUGAGAUACGACCGGAACAGUCGUAUAUUGCUGGUGAUCAGGGUACUCUCCUGCAGGAUGUAAUUUGAUCCGGAUCGCCGCAAUUCUCGGUUAUGAAUGCACUUGAUCACUGUUGAGCAUCGUAGUAUCAACUCAUGCGAUAUAAAAUCUCCUGUUGUCAAGUAAUGUAUGACUUAACAGCUGUGGUUGCUUUUACUUCUGCUAUCAUUUAGAAUGGUUAGGUAAUAACUUAACUAAACCAAAAGAUAAAACUAAGGUAUCACUUGUAGUAAGCUUUUCAGCAAAAAUUGCAUUAGCCAAGUACACCAAAAAGCUAAAGCAUACACUUCCAAAGAAAGCUAUUAUAUUGGUUAGUCGGGUAAGACUUGCUGAGUACUUCGUACUCAGGGGAUCCCUUGUUGUUGUUUUCAGAAAGCCAGCAGGGACUCACCGAAGAGGAAGCCCCGAAGACCUAGGGUAUCUUAUGAGUCUCAUGAUACUCUAGAAUGAAACUUAAAUAUUUGUUUUUCUCCCAAACUGGUUUUAAAUUCUUAGAACCACACUGACCUGCAUGAUUAAGUUGUUUCAAACUAUGGUUGUAAUAUAUCGUACCUUGGUUAUGUCUUUAAAAAUGUAAUAUUUGUUGAUGUUAUCCCAUCGCGGAUAUUAUCCUGAUGUAUGGCUAUGAG
rnacentral:lncRNA from 1 species